AGGAUGAACGCUAGCGGCAGGCCUAAUACAUGCAAGUCGAACGGUGGCAGCAAUGUCAUAGUGGCGCACGGGUGCGUAACACGUAACUAACCUGCCCAAGACUGGGGGAUAGCCCGCCGAAAGGCGGAUUAAUACCGCAUAAUAUCUACGAGUGGCAUCACUUGUUGAUUAAACCUGAGGGGGUCUUGGAUGGGGUUGCGGGUCAUUAGCUAGUUGGUUAGGUAACGGCUGACCAAGGCGACGAUGACUAGGGGAGCUGAGAGGCUGGUCCCCCACACGGGCACUGAGAUACGGGCCCGACUCCUACGGGAGGCAGCAGUAGGGAAUAUUGGGCAAUGGGCGAGAGCCUGACCCAGCCAUGCCGCGUGCAGGAAGAAGGCUUUCUGAGUCGUAAACUGCUUUUGAUAGGGAAGAAUAACCUGUACGUGUACAGGGAUGACGGUACCUACAGAAUAAGCACCGGCUAACUCCGUGCCAGCAGCCGCGGUAAUACGGAGGGUGCGAGCGUUGUCCGGAUUUAUUGGGUUUAAAGGGUGCGUAGGCGGCCCGUUAAGUCCGGGGUGAAAGCCCGUUGCUCAACAACGGAACUGCCCUGGAUACUGGCGGGCUUGAGACUAGUGGAGGUUGGC
rnacentral:rRNA from 1 species